GGAGAAGAUUGAAACAUAUCCCUUCUGGUUGCCCAACAAGGGAACAGUGCACAAACCUGAGGGCUGUGGAUCACACAACGCAGAAAACAGGCAAGAGUUAGAAAUGCCAACCUCCUGAACUGCAGGGUUGACAAGAAGCCAGAAAACCACACAGACCAGAAUAUACAAGUUGUAGGCUAUGGCCCAUAACAGUGCUAUCUUUCUUUACCAGUGAGCAGUCCUGCCCUCUGUCUUUGCCUUUCAUGUAGCUGACCCACCUUUCUCUUGGAAACUUUGUAGUACUGUAGUACUAUUAUUUAUAUUUUCAGGAUAUACUGGUAUCUGGUGUUGUUUCCCACUGGUCUCAUUGGAGCCUGAUCCCAGCUUUGUUUCUGCCCUGUGGUCGGCCAGGACCCGGUUCUCCAGACUGCUGCCCGUGGGGUUGUGCAACUCUGAGUUUAUGUAGUCCCUACCUGGAUGUAAUUGUUUUGGCCUUGCACAUAGAACAGUCUGUCAAUCUGCAACCCCGAAACUCCUGUAGGAGACCUAGAGAUUGCAUCGCAUGUCAAGGAGAAGACUGAAUGGUAAAUAUAAUCCAGUGAGCAGGGUAGUGUCACUUGAAGAGGAGCUUUCAUGCUUGCUUUUUUUUUUUUCCUCCUUUCUUCUCCAUUCUCCUGUGAGGAG
rnacentral:lncRNA from 1 species